rnacentral:rRNA from 1 species
CGUGACGGCCAAAGCGGCGAGGUCACACCUGGUCUCAUUCCGAACCCAGAAGUUAAGCUCGCCCACGUUCUCUGCAGUACUGUGGUGCGCGAGCCCACGGGAAGCUCAAGGCGACCUUCGGGG